UAGUCCUACGGGAGGCAGCAGUGAGGAAUAUUGGUCAAUGGGCGAGAGCCUGAACCAGCCAAGUCGCGUGAGGGAGUACUGCCCUAUGGGUUGUAAGCCUCUUUUGUCAGGGAGCAACGCCGGCUACGUGUAGCCGGACUGAGAGUACCUGAAGAAAAAGCAUCGGCUAACUCCGUGCCAGCAGCCGCGGUAAUACGGAGGAUGCGAGCGUUAUCCGGAUUUAUUGGGUUUAAAGGGUGCGUAGGCGGAAUGCCAAGUCAGCGGUAAAAUCGCGGGGCUCAACCUCGCUCCGCCGUUGAAACUGG
rnacentral:rRNA from 1 species